rnacentral:rRNA from 1 species
GAUGAACGCUGGCGGCGUGCCUAAUACAUGCAAGUCGAGCGAACAGAUGAGGAGCUUGCUCAUCUGACGUUAGCGGCGGACGGGUGAGUAACACGUGGAUAACCUACCUAUAAGACUGGGAUAACUUCGGGAAACCGGAGCUAAUACCGGAUAAUAUAUUGAACCGCAUGGUUCAAUAGUGAAAGACGGUUUUGCUGUCACUUAUAGAUGGAUCCGCGCCGCAUUAGCUAGUUGGUAAGGUAACGGCUUACCAAGGCAACGAUGCGUAGCCGACCUGAGAGGGUGAUCGGCCACACUGGAACUGAGACACGGUCCAGACUCCUACGGGAGGCAGCAGUAGGGAAUCUUCCGCAAUGGGCGAAAGCCUGACGGAGCAACGCCGCGUGAGUGAUGAAGGUCUUCGGAUCGUAAAACUCUGUUAUUAGGGAAGAACAAAUGUGUAAGUAACUAUGCCCGUCUUGACGGUACCUAAUCAGAAAGCCACGGCUAACUACGUG